AGAGUUUGAUCCUGGCUCAGGAUGAACGCUAGCGGCAGGCCUAAUACAUGCAAGUCGAACGGUCCUAGCAAUAGGAUAGUGGCGCACGGGUGCGUAACGCGUAACCAACCUACCUGGAUCUGGGGGAUAGCCCGCCGAAAGGGGAUUAAUACCGCAUAAGCUAAGUGACCGGCAUCGGUUGCUUCGUAAAGAUUUAUUGGAUUCAGAUGGGGUUGCGUAGCAUUAGCUAGAUGGCGGGGUAACGGCCCACCAUGGCGACGAUGCUUAGGGGACCUGAGAGGGUGAUCCCCCACACUGGCACUGAGAUACGGGCCAGACUCCUACGGGAGGCAGCGGUAGGGAAUAUUGGGCAAUGGGCGAGAGCCUGACCCAGCCAUGCCGCGUGCCGGAUGAAGGCCUUCUGGGUUGUAAACGGCUUUUCUCAGGGAAGAAAAAGAGGAUGCGUCCUAAACUGACGGUACCUGAGGAAUAAGCACCGGCUAACUCCGUGCCAGCAGCCGCGGUAAUACGGAGGGUGCAAGCGUUGUCCGGAUUUAUUGGGUUUAAAGGGUGCGUAGGUGGCUUGUUAAGUCCGGGGUGAAAGCCCACAGCUCAACUGUGGAACUGCCCUGGAUACUGGCAAGCUUGAGAGUAGUCGAGGGUGGCGGAAUGGACGGUGUAGCGGUGAAAUGCAUAGAUACCGUCCAGAACCCCAAUUGCGUAGGCAGCUGCCUAGGCUACAUCUGACACUGAGGCACGAAAGCGUGGGGAGCGAACAGGAUUAGAUACCCUAGUAGUCC
rnacentral:rRNA from 1 species